AUUGAACGCUGGCGGCAGGCCUAACACAUGCAAGUCGAGCGGAGCGGCGGACGGGUGAGUAAUGCCUAUGAAUCUGCCUGGUCGUGGUGGAUAACGUCCGGCAACGGGCGCUAAUCCCGCAUACUAUCCUAUGCGCCUAGGUCGGAUUAGCUAGUUGGUGGGUUAAAGGCAUACCAAGGCGACGAUCCGUACCUGGGCUGAGAGGAUGAUCAGUCACACUGGAACUGAGACACGGUCCAGACGCCUACGGGAGGCAGCAGUGGGGAAUAUUGGACAAUGGGCGAAAGCCUGAUCCAGCCAUGCCGCGUGUGUGAAGAAGGUCUUCGGAUUGUAAAGUACUUUAAGUUGGGAGGCGUUACCAACAGAAUAAGCACCGGCUAACUUCGUGCCAGAAGCCGCGGUAAUUC
rnacentral:rRNA from 1 species